UGCGUCCUACGGGAGGCAGCAGUGAGGAAUAUUGGUCAAUGGGCUUACGCCUGAACCAGCCAAGUCGCGUGAGGGAAGACUGCCCUAUGGGUUGUAACCCUCUUUUGUCAGGGAGCAAUUGGCGCUACGUGUAGCGUUAUCGAGAGUACCUGAAGAAAAAGCAUCGGCUAACUCCGUGCCAGCAGCCGCGGUAAUACGCAGGAUGCGAGCGCUAUCCGGAUUUAUUGGGUUUAAAGGGUGCGUAGGCGGAAUGCCACGUCAGCGG
rnacentral:rRNA from 1 species